rnacentral:lncRNA from 1 species
GUUUGAUGAUUCUGGAGUGGAGCCAUUUUGUUUUGCCUUUUGAUAUCUGUUGCUGCAUCAGUUAAAGCCAACCGAUACUACACACAUCCAGGAAUGAGGCCUACACGGUUUACGGGCAGCCAAUUAUCAUGCCUUUUGGCCAUACAAUUGAACAUGAAGAGAUGCUUGAAGUUGUAAUAUUUGAAGGUCAAGCACUUGGACAAGAGGAUUCUUUUAUGUCACGUGGCAUUCAUCUCUUGUAACAUUUAGGAGCGGAUUUCUUAAGCUCGGGCUCGGUGGUUGUUAUUGAAAGAUCUUUGACAACAUCAACAUGCCAUUUUGUGUUUUCUUUA